rnacentral:rRNA from 2 species
UCUCAAUUUGUUUGGUGGCGAUAGCGAAGAGGUCACACCCGUUCCCAUACCGAACACGGAAGUUAAGCUCUUCAGCGCCGAUGGUAGUCGGGGGUUUCCCCCUGUGAGAGUAGGACGCCGCCAAGC